UAGGGAAUCUUCGGCAAUGGACGAAAGUCUGACCGAGCAACGCCGCGUGAGUGAAGAAGGUUUUCGGAUCGUAAAACUCUGUUGGUAGAGAAGAACGUUGGUGAGAGUGGAAAGCUCAUCAAGUGACGGUAACUACCCAGAAAGGGACGGCUAACUACGUGCCAGCAGCCGCGGUAAUACGUAGGUCCCGAGCGUUGUCCGGAUUUAUUGGGCGUAAAGCGAGCGCAGGUGGUUUAUUAAGUCUGGUGUAAAAGGCAGUGGCUCAACCAUUGUAUGCAUUGGAAACUGGUAGACUUGAGUGCAGGAGAGGAGAGUGGAAUUCCAUGUGUAGCGGUGAAAUGCGUAGAUAUAUGGAGGAACACCGGUGGCGAAAGCGGCUCUCUGGCCUGUAACUGACACUGAGGCUCGAAAGCGUGGGGAGCAAACAGGAUUAGAUAGCCCUGGUA
rnacentral:rRNA from 1 species